UGGAAUUGAAGACAACUACUUCUAGAAUUGGUGCAUGGAAGCUUCUCAUAGGUGAUUAGCCACACUCUUCUUCUGUCAACCUGGUGCAGAAAAGCUUGAAGACCUUGGAAAUCACAUAUUGAUGAUGGAGGAGACACAAGAAUGAAGGACCCUGGGUUCCUGAAUCAACACUCUAAGAAGAGACUCCUUGAAAUCAAGAGCACUCAUUUUGACAUUGCAAAUGGAAAAAUUCACUUCUAUCAGGGGACUGAUCAGAGUCAAACCAUAUGCUGUGGCUUUUGCUCCAUGGAAAUCUAAACUAUACUGCAAGAAUAAUUAUUCCUAGUUAAUGAAGUUACGGAAGAGAAUGUGGUGCUGGACGGUACUGACUGCAUGGGGAGAGGCCAUACCACAGAAACCUCAAUCUGCCUGAGCCGUGACUCUGAGAGCUGGAGUACCACUGGACAGGAUGUCUGGUUUCAUAUCAAGCCUUUACAUGCACAACAAUCCUGCAGAUACCUCAUUUCAGUGAUGUUAUAGAGAGAAAAUGUUGGCAUACAAGUGAGGUGUGUUUGAAACAAUUACACUAUAAUAAAUGAUUAUAAACAGAUACAGAAGAAUUUGACAGGCCUAUCUCAAAGAGAGAAUUGAGAUUAUUUAAUCAUUUAAUCUACCA